GGGGCUGUGGCGCAGUCUGGCAGCGCGGCGAGCUUACACCUCGUAGGUCGUCGGUUCGAAUCCGGCCAGCCCCA
rnacentral:tRNA from 1 species